AUUUAUGCACACAUUCAGCCCUCACCAUAUACACAAACACAGAAAGAAAGGAAAGAAAAGAGUAAGGGUGGAGCUCGAGAGGAGGGGGGAGGGGGGGAAGAAGGACAAGGAAGGAGAGGGGGAAAAAGAGAGAUGGUUAACUCCGCCGUCGCCGUCGCCGCGCCCUGCCGAUCGUUGUUGAGAAGGUCGAACAGAGGGGAGAGAAAGCUAGCGUUGAGAAAGGGAAGGGUCGCCGAGCUAGCGCCGUCGCGUCAGCACGGCUGUGCCGCCACGGAUGAGGAGAGAUGCGUCGGAGAGAGAGAAGGUCCGCGGUGGAGAAAGAGAGAGAGCGCUCGCGAGGGGUGUCGGAGCUGCGUUUCGCCGCCGUGCUGUGCGAAGUCACCAUCGUGCCUCGAGCCUCGCCGUUGUCGUCCUCGGCGCGAGCCCUUGCCGUCGUCGAUGGGGUUGAAUCCGCCGCUGGUUUGAGCUGAGGGAAAGGAAACGCGUAUAGGAGAGAGAGCAGGGGGCUUCGUGGCAGCUCCAUCGCGCCGCUCCUGCCGAGCCGCCGCCAAAUCCUGCCGCCUAUCGGAACCCUAGCCAUCGCCGUCGAAGACGCCACCGCCACCACUGCCGUCAAUUGGGAUCAAAAUUGUUGCCGUGUUCCCAGAGCUGUCAUGGAAGUGGCUGAUUCGGUCCCAAUUCCUCCAUUGUUGAGACUGACCAUUAUGGUGGUGUUGAGGCCAUCAGGAAACUGUUAGAGCUGCUGUUGAUGAGUUUGAUAUUGCUACUUCAAUUCUGGUUUGCUCUUCUCCUUGA